UACAGAGGGGGCGAGCGUUGUUCGGAAUUACUGGGCGUAAAGGGCGCGUAGGUGGCCUUCUAAGUCGAACGUGAAAUCCCCGGGCUCAACCCGGGAACUGCGUCCGAUACUGGAAGGCUUGAAUCCGGGAGAGGGAUGCGGAAUUCCAGGUGUAGCGGUGAAAUGCGUAGAUAUCUGGAGGAACACCGGUGGCGAAGGCGGCAUCCUGGACCGGCAUUGACGCUGAGGAGCGAAAGCCAGGGGAGCAAACGGG
rnacentral:rRNA from 1 species